rnacentral:rRNA from 1 species
UACGUAGGCAGCAAGCGUUGUUCGGAAUUACUGGGCGUAAAGCGCGCGCAGGUGGCCAAUUAAGUCCGCUGUGAAAUCUCCCGGCCCAACUGGGAGGGGCCAGUGGAUACUGGAUGGCUUGAGGGCAGCAGAGGUCGGUGGAAUUCCUGGUGUAGUGGUGAAAUGCGUAGAGAUCAGGAGGAACACCGGUGGCGAAGGCGGCCGACUGGGCUGCCACUGACGCUGAGGCGCGAAAGCUCGGGGAGCGAACGGG